CAACGCCGCGUGAGUGAUGAAGGUUUUCGGAUCGUAAAGUUCUGUUGUUAGGGAAGACCAAGUGCAAGAGUAACUGCUUGCACCUUGACGGUACCUAACCAGAAAGCCACGGCUAACUACGUGCCAGCAGCCGCGGUAA
rnacentral:rRNA from 1 species